GGUUUUAUAAGAAUCUGGUAUUUCCUCUGCUUGCACUUCUCUUUCCUGCCGCCAUGUGAAGGUUCUUGUUUCCCCUUCACCUUCUGCCACGAUUGUGAACGUGCUCUCCACUGGUAUGUGUUUCCCGCAAGUGUACUGAAAUUUCUCAUCUGUUGGUCACCACUUUCUCCUGCACCACCACCUCAUUCUUGCUUUAUUUGGAUUUAUUCACUCCUGUGCCUCUGAAUUCUGUAUCAUGAGGCCUCAUCAGGUGAGAGGGAAGCACUUCCCAGUCUUGUCGCAUGACGGUGCACAGUGGACGUGGCACCGCAUGGUGUGGCACACAGGAAUCAGUGGACGGAGGAGCUGCUCCCAGCAGGAGGGGCCGAUCCCUGGCUGUUCCAGCUGCUCCUGGCCCUGCUCAGACAUCCUGAGGACUGAGACUCUAAACCCGGCAGGUCUGCAUUCAUCUCACAGCACACGAAGAGCUCCAAGUCGGACAUCAAGGGCUCCGCACAUUGUGAAAGUUUUCCUUGAAGUUACGAUGGGAAUCCAGAACGCCGUAUGGACCCCUCUGUGGGUAGCGCAGAAAUAAUUUUUGUAUUUUCAGUAGAGACGGGGUUUCACCAUGUUGGCCAGGCUGGUUGUGAACUCCUGACCUCGUGAUCUGCCGUCCUCCGCCUCCCAAAGUGUUGGGAUUACAGGCGUGAGCCACCACGCCCAGCCUCUUCUUUCCUUCUUUUCCUCUUUCUGGAAUUCCUACUGGGUAGGUGUUGUACCUCUGUAUUAAUCAUCUAUAUCUCUUAUUGUUUCUGGCCUAUUUUCUGUUUCCUGUUCUCUUUAUUCUCUGUGACCUCCUAAACAUUAUUGUCCACCCAUAUUUAUUAUUUUACAUUUUGUGAACCAUAAUUUUAAUUUCCAGAGGCUUUUACUGUGGUUCUUCUCACAGGGCUUAUUUUUCACUGUGUCAUGUUCUUGUUUUAUUGUUUUAUGGAUGGAAUAUUUUCUAAAAUCUCUCUGGGGAUGCUGAUCAAAGAAGUUCUGUUCUUUCAUGUUCUUUGUUUUAUGUUCUUUU
rnacentral:lncRNA from 10 species